CUCGGUGGUUUGAGCGCGCCGGUUCUACCUGAUCUCAUUCCGAACUCAGUCGUAAAAAGGCGCAGCGGGGACGAUAAUAUAUCCGCAAGGGUAUGUGAAAAUACCUCACUGCCGGGA
rnacentral:rRNA from 1 species